UACGGAGGUGGCAAGCGUUGCUCGGAAUCACUGGGCGUAAAGGGCGCGUAGGCGGGGAGGUAAGUCGGGUGUGAAAUCCCUCGGCCCAACUGAGGAACUGCGCCCGAGACUGCUUCUCUUGAGUCCCGGAGAGGAAGAUGGAAUUCCCGGUGUAGCGGUGAAAUGUGUAGAGAUCGGGAGGAACACCAAUUGCGAAGGCAGCUCGCUGGGACGUUACUGACGCUGAGACGCGAAAGCGUGGGGAGCAAACAGG
rnacentral:rRNA from 1 species